AAAGUAGUCCCUCCGUCCCAAAAUUCUUGUCUUAGAUUUGUCUAGAUACGGAUGUAUCAAGUCACAUUUUAGUAUUAGAUACAUCCGUAUCUAGACAAAUCUAAGACAAGAAAUUUGGGACAGAGGGAGUAGUUG
rnacentral:pre_miRNA from 1 species